rnacentral:rRNA from 1 species
AUUGAACGCUGGCGGCAGGCCUAACACAUGCAAGUCGAACGAGUGGCGGACGGGUGAGUAAUGUCUGGGCAACUGCCUGAUGGAGGGGGAUAACUACUGGAAACGGUAGCUAAUACCGCCUACCAUCAAAUGUGCCCAGAUGGGAUUAACUUAGUGGGGGGGUAACGGCUCACCAAGGCGACGAUCCCUAGCUGGUAUGAGAGGAUGACCAGCCACACGGGAACUGAGACACGGUCCAGACUCCUACGGGAGUCAGCAGUGGGGAAUAUUGCACAAUGGGCGCAAGCCUGAUGCAGCCAUGCCGCGUGUAGGAAGAAGGCCUUCGGGUUGGAAAGUACUUUCAGCGGGGAGGCGGUACCCGCAGAAGAAGCACCGGCUAACUCCGUGCCAGCCGCCGCGGUAAUAC